AUUGAACGCUAGCGGGAUGCCUUACACAUGCAAGUCGAACGAGUGGCGGACGGGUGAGUAAUAUAUCGGAACGUGCCUGGUAGCGGGGGAUAACUACUCGAAAGAGUGGCUAAUACCGCAUACUAUCAGAGCGGCCGAUAUCGGAUUAGCUUGUUGGUGGGGUAAAGGCUCACCAAGGCAACGAUCCGUAGCUGGUUUGAGAGGACGGCCAGCCACACUGGAACUGAGACACGGCCCAGACUCCUACGGGAGGCAGCAGUGGGGAAUAUUGGACAAUGGGCGAAACCCUGAUGCAGCCAUCCCGCGUGUAUGAGAAGGCCUUCGGGUUGUAAAGUACUUUUGGCGGGGAAGCGUUAUCUGCAGAAGAAGCACCGGCUAACUACGUGCCAGCCGCCGCGGUAAUAC
rnacentral:rRNA from 1 species